CCGUAGACCCCGGGAAGGCGCGGGCCUUAGUGGCGGACGGGUGAGUAACGCGUGGGGAACCUGCCCCGUACCGGGGGAUAACACCUGGAAACAGGUGCUAAUACCGCAUAACAGAAGGGGACGCAUGUUCCUUUCUUGAAAACUCCGGUGGUACGGGAUGGACCCGCGUCUGAUUAGCUGGUUGGCGGGGGUAACGGCCCACCAAGGCGACGAUCAGUAGCCGGCCUGAGAGGGCGGACGGCCACAUUGGGACUGAGACACGGCCCAAACUCCUACGGAAGGCAGCAG
rnacentral:rRNA from 1 species